GUGGCAGCCUACUCAAGGUUGCAUCAAUGAGCGGUUUAUGUGACUUAAAGGCUGCCACAUACAUCAAUUGGUUCCUGCCGACAGGGCCUGUCCAGAUAUCGGGUUCCCUGUGCGAUGGUUCCAAACAGA
rnacentral:snoRNA from 1 species